GACGAACGCUGGCGGCGUGCCUAAUACAUGCAAGUCGAACGACGAGACUUUAACUGAUGCUUGCAUCGACCAAAGGAUCGGAGUGGCGAACGGGUGAGUAACACGUGGGUAACCUGCCUAUCAGAGGGGGAUAACACUUGGAAACAGGUGCUAAUACCGCAUAACAAUCAUAACCGCAUGGUUAUGAUUUGAAAGGCGCUUCUGGUGUCACUGAUAGAUGGACCCGCGGUGCAUUAGCUAGUCGGUGGGGUAACGGCCUACCGAGGCAAUGAUGCAUAGCCGACCUGAGAGGGUGAUCGGCCACACUGGGACUGAGACACGGCCCAGACUCCUACGGGAGGCAGCAGUAGGGAAUCUUCCGCAAUGGACGAAAGUCUGACGGAGCAACGCCGCGUGAGUGAUGAAGGCUUUCGGGUCGUAAAACUCUGUUGUUAGGGAAGAACAAGUACGAGAGUAACUGCUCGUACCUUGACGGUACCUAACCAGAAAGCCACGGCUAACUACGUGCCAGCCGCCGCAGUAAAAC
rnacentral:rRNA from 1 species